rnacentral:lncRNA from 1 species
AUAUUGUUGUGGGAUGGGGUUCCCAGUUUAGUCCCACAUCGGCUAAUCAGCGGAAAGGUCUGUGCCUUAAAUGGGGGGCUCAAUAACCUCUCCCCACCGAGGGCCCUUUUGUAGGACAAAACCGUGAGGUAGGGGUAGUACCUCCGCGGACCCCCGCGCCGUUAGGGCUCGGGACUGUCAUUGGGCAAAGACCCUGGGCGACCUCCCGGAGACCCGAAGCGGCAAUCCCAGAGCGGACAAUACCUCGGGAGGGACGCAGAUGCUUUCCCUGCUCGGCUGGUGUGUGGGCUGCUGCCGGGGUGAAACCCCGCAACAGU